UACGUAGGUGGCAAGCGUUGUCCGGAUUUAUUGGGUUUAAAGGGUGCGUAGGCGGUCUUUUAAGUCAGUGCUGAAAUAUCCCGGCUUAACCGGGAGGGUGGCAUUGAUACUGAAGGACUUGAGUAAAGUUGAGGUUGGCGGAAUUGACGGUGUAGCGGUGAAAUGCUUAGAUAUCGUCAAGAACACCGAUAGUGCAGACAGCUAACUAAGCUUUAACUUACGCUGAGGCACGAAAGUGUGGGGAUCAAACAGG
rnacentral:rRNA from 1 species